rnacentral:rRNA from 1 species
UACGUAGGGUGCGAGCGUUGUCCGGAAUUAUUGGGCGUAAAGAGCUCGUAGGCGGUUCGGCAAGUCGGGUGUGAAAUUUCGAGGCUCAACCUCGAAACGCCACUCGAUACUGCUGUGACUGGAGUCCGGUAGAGGAGUGCGGAAUUCCUGGUGUAGCGGUGAAAUGCGCAGAAUAUCAGGAGGAACACCAACGGCGAAGGCAGCACUCUGGGGCCGGUACUGACGCU